rnacentral:rRNA from 1 species
CCUACGGGUGGCAGCAGUGAGGAAUAUUGGUCAAUGGCCGAAAGGCUGAACCAGCCAAGUCGCGUGAGGGAAGAAGGCCCUACGGUUUGUAAACCUCUUUUGUCGGGGAAUAAAGGUAUCCACGUGUGGAUCUUUGCAUGUACUCUAUGAAUAAGCCUCGGCUAACUACGUGCCAGCAGCCGCGGUAAUACGGAGGAUGCAAGCGUUAUCCGGAUUUAUUGGGUUUAAAGGGUGUGUAGGCGGUGGUGCAAGUCAGCGGUAAAAUUGCGGGGCUCAACCCCGUCCGGCCGUUGAAACUGGAUCUCUAGAGUGCGCGAGAAGUAUGCGGAAUGCGUGGUGUAGCGGUGAAAUGCAUAGAUAUCACGAAGAACUCCGAUUGCGAAGGCAGCAUACCGGCUCGAAACUGACGCUGAGGCACGAAAGCGUGGGUAUCGAACAGGAUUAGAUACCCGGGUAGUC